GAUUGAGCCUUGUUUAUCAGACCACAGGGGUCAGUAUUUAACUUUUAAAAGUCAAAUUCCGUCAAAUAAUACACCUCGCCCAACACGAACUUAUUCAUGUAAAAACAUUGAAAAUUUUAAAAGUGAUUUACUCAAUGUCAACUUGUGCAUUGUUGACACCGAUAUGAACAAUUCUACUUCCAUGGCGAAUUACUUGGUUAGUCAUUUUCAGUCAUUAAUUCCUGUUCACCAAAGAUCAAAUUACACUGUUCACUUUCCUCUACGUGAUAAGUGUAGGGGUGCCAACAAAAAUCCUGUAUACUGGUUUAAACAAGGAACUAAAAUGUAUGCGAAGUAAACUCAGGUCCUUAAAAUCAAUUUGUGAAGUAAAUAAAAACCAUAGUCAGUUAAAGACAUAUAAGAGGGAAUACCGCAGAGCUAUAAUCUCUGCAAAAAACAUUGCAUAUGACAAUUUUCUGAAUAAAUCCAACAACAAAAUCCGAGAUACAUGGAAACUAGUCAACUUUGAACGUAAUAAACAUAGCUCACAGAAGAAUCAAUCUUCAAUCACGUCAGAGGAUUUUUCAACCUUGUAUCUUGAAUAGUAUUUAUCUGAUCUAUACAGUUUUGUCUUAGAUUUUAGAAAAAAAGGGGAUGUGGUUCAUAUUACCAAAGAGGGAGAUAAGUGGGUGUGGCAAAAUUUUAAGAAAAUAUUUAUAUGUAAACAUAUAAAGUACGAUCUUGUAAAUUUGGUUGAAAUUUCAGCUCAUCCCGAAGAUUAGGAAUACAAACCUUGUUAGAAUGCCUGGGGUGACAUUUGCUCACAUUCUGUAGAUUAAUUUGAAAUAUCAAUUACGGUUAGUUUGUCCCGACUGAAAGAAUCUGUCGCACCGUCUGAUUUGGAUAAAAAUGCGGAAACCCUAUUGGAGGAAUAUUAUCCCUUCGCUACCGUUCUACGUUUUAGAGUACUGCAGAUCGUUUGUGGUAUUUCAUUUUUAAUUGUGGGAACGGUCGCUUUCAUUGAAGAGAGGGGA